rnacentral:snRNA from 1 species
GGAUGUGAGGGCAAUCUGGCUGCUACAUCCAUCACCCCACUGGUUGCCAGGGUUGAUUUGGCUGAUCUGGCUGGCUAGGUGGGUGUCCCCUCCCUCCCCCAUUGCUCCAUGUGCAUCCCUCCAGAGCUGUGCAUUCAGUUAGAGAGGAUGGCCAUCCCUGCUAGAAGAGGACCGUGCUUCAGCCAAGGGUACAUGAGUAACUGCACUCCUCUGCUAGAGCCCCCAAACAAGCUCUCAAAGAGAACAGGUUUAAAAUUCUGGUUGUUUUACAGCAGGGUGUUUAGAUUAAGACAUACAGCAGUCCUCUGGCUAUUGCUGGACUCCCAGUGUCCCAG